GUCUCUUUGAGUAUUUUUAAUAGAGAGUGGGGCCUGCUCGUUGAUUUAUAUUAAACAGCUNCGGUAUUAUAACUGUACUAAGGUAGCAUAAUAAUUUGCCUUAUAAAUUAAGGCUAGAAUGAAUGGUUUGACGAAAAUUAUACUGUCUCUAGUUUAUUUAUUAGAAGUUAAUUUUUAUAGGUGAAAAAGCUUAAAUAAUUUAAAGGGACGAGAAGACCCUAUUAGAGCUUAUAUUAUAUAUAUUAAAGUUAUAAUUGUAUUUAUUUAAUGUAAUUUUGGUUGGGUGAUCAAGGAAUAAAAUUAAUUUAGUUAACUUCCUUAAUAAAUUUAUAUAUAUAUAUAAAUAAACCAAUAGUUUUGCUUAGGAGAUAAGUUACCAUAGGGAUAACAGCGUAAUUUUUUUUGAAAGUUCUUAUUGGAAAAAGAGAUUGCGACCUCGAUGUUGGAUUAAAAUAACCUUAAGGUGUAGAGGCUUUAGUUGGUAAAUCUGUUCGAUUUUUAAAAUUUUAC
rnacentral:rRNA from 1 species